UGGUACCAUGUCCGUUGGUUUUGCUUGGUAAGAUUUGUGACGAUGCGUCGGACAAACAACAUUGGGAAAAUAUACAGCCUUGAGCCUUGAUGACCAAUGUAUAUCUCUAUUUGAGGAAUUCUCCAAAGAUCCAGAGCCGAUUGUUUCAUAGAGCUGUGAAGUUGCGUUAAACAUACUGGAUUUUGAACGAUCCGACAAACCAUUCGAGGUACUUGGAAGAUUAAGUCUCUUAUCUGGGUGGUUGUUACAGGUU